CGGGGCGCUGACGAGUGGCGGACGGGUGAGUAAUGCUUGGGAAUCUGCCUAGUAGUGGGGGAUAACCCGGGGAAACUCGGGCUAAUACCGCAUACGUCCUACGGGAGAAAGCGGGGGAUCUUCGGACCUCGCGCUAUUAGAUGAGCCCAAGUCGGAUUAGCUAGUUGGUGGGGUAAUGGCCUACCAAGGCAACGAUCCGUAGCUGGUCUGAGAGGACGAUCAGCCACACCGGAACUGAGACACGGUCCGGACUCCUACGGGAGGCAGCAGUGGGGAAUAUUGGACAAUGGGCGAAAGCCUGAUCCAGCAAUGCCGCGUGUGUGAAGAAGGCCUGCGGGUUGUAAAGCACUUUCAGCAGGGAAGAACAGCACAGGGAUAAUACCCUUGUGUGCUGACGUCACCUGAAGAAGAAGCACCGGCUAACUCCGUGCCAGCAGCCGCGGUAAUACGGAGGGUGCGAGCGUUAAUCGGAAUUACUGGGCGUAAAGAGUACGUAGGUGGCUUGAUUAGUCGGAUGUGAAAGCCCUGGGCUUAACCUGGGAACUGCAUCCGAGACUGUCUAGCUAGAGUAAGGGAGAGGGAAGUGGAAUUUCCGGUGUAGCGGUGAAAUGCGUAGAUAUCGGAAGGAACACCAGUGGCGAAGGCGACUUCCUGGCCCAUUACUGACACUGAGGUACGAAAGCGUGGGGAGCAAACAGGA
rnacentral:rRNA from 1 species